rnacentral:rRNA from 1 species
CUCAGAGACUGAUCUUGAGAGAGCGAAAAGCUCUCAACACAGUGAGAUAGUUAGAAAACUAUCAGACGCCGAACUCCCGAUGCAAAAUCGGGAUGAUGAUAUAGUCCGAUCCUCAUGGUGACAUGAGAAAAUAUCUUUCCAAAAGAAAGGCCAGCAGCAGCGGUAAUACGAGUGCUUCGAGCGUUAUCCGGAAUCAUUGGGCGUAAAGGGUGUGUAGGCGGUCAUGUUAGUCUCGCGUUAAAUGCUCCGGCUCAACCGGAGCGCCGCGUGGGAAACGG